AUUCAUGAUCUGGAACAGAAACCUAUAGUAGUGAACAGAGGCUAAAGGCAAUUAGCUCAUAAGAAACACACAGAACAUAUCCACACACACAUACUAAAUGUGUAUACACACACAGGACAUAUAUAUACACAUAUACUAAGCGUAUACACACACACACACACACACACACACACACACACACACAGAGACACAAAAAUAUUGGAGACAGCUUCUAAGACCAUUUGCUGAUGAAGGCAUUGCUUAUUCCACAAAAGGCAGAACACGUGUGAUGGACUUCUCAGAGAAAGCCGAAAUCAGUAUUCACAGCUUCUAACAGUAAAUUGAACAUGAAAAAACUCCACUAACUACUGAUCAUUGGACCUGAUUGCUUGUGGUUCUGGGAGAGAGAAGAGACAUCUGCACAGGAAUUGGAGCCAGGCCCUGCCGCAUGCAGCCAUCAGCCUCAAUGUGACACUAUGAGCUUUGGCUGGGAAUAAGACACUACAUCUUGGCUUGGGGACACAAACCUGGAGUACUACCAGAGUAAGGCAACCAACCCAAAAGCUACUUGACAGGGAGAGGAGUCUACCAAAAAGAAACAAAACAAACAAAUUCCCUCCCAAACAAGACAUCUUCUGUAACCAGAAGCACUCCAAGAACAACACUUUCAUUCAUGGACUUAACAACUACAUUAGAUCAUACCAGCCUGUCACUUCAAAGUCACCAGUGUCAAGGCAUCAAGUGAAUAGAGAAGAUUCUAUGGAUGUAGAAGAGGUCCCUGGGUUUCCGAAUUGCCACUGGAUUGCCUCUAUCAAAUACACAAGAGUUUCAUGAGUGAGAAAUAACCUUCUGUUGCUUUAAAUCUUGGGUUGUGCAAUACAUCAGUGAGCCUACCAUGACUAAUACAUUCUAUGGAUGCAGAUUUCUCUUCUCUGGCCAUUGACAUGAGUGUGCUUUCUGGAUGCAGUCACAGGGGACCCAAGAUUCUUGGACAGAAUUCUCGCCGGGAGCCAACUCAGCCUGAUCUGCUGGCAUCUCUCAAGUAUCAGAAGUCAACAAAAUGGUUUGCCUUGAAGACUUGGCCAGAGCAGCAGCCAAAGUUCAUAAGGCUUUCGUAGAGAGAUUGUUUGUCUAAGAAAACAAAAUUCUAAGGGCUCCCAUUGUGCAGCUGGGGUGGCAAAAUGCAAACUAAUAUAAGGAAAAAAAAUGCUUUUCAUUUCCAUGGAAGAAAUGACCCAUCCUAUUGUUGAUAUUUCCUUUUCUGUGCUAACUUAUUCCAUUAAUUAGGCUCUCGUUUUAUGAGAUAAUUUCACUGCAUGCGUAUCUUCUUUUGGUUAUUACACAAGGACUGUUUUCUAUGGUUCAUAUCUAAGUCCAACCCUGGAAAAAUCUUUUUUUUUGAGACAGCCUUUUUUGUUUUGUUUUGAGACAAUACUCCCUCUGUUGCCCAGGCUGGAAUGCAGUGGUGAGAUCAUAGCUCACUGCAACUUCUGCCUCCUAGGCUCAAAAAAUCCUCCCACCUCAGCCUCCCAAGUAGCUGGGAUUGCAGGCAUAUGCCAUCACACCCGGCUAAUUUUUGGAUUUUUAGUAAAGUUUUGCCAUGUUGGCCAGGCUGAUCUUGAACUCCUGCCCUCAAGUGAUCUGCCCACCUUGACCUCCCAAAGUGCUGGGAUUACAGGUGUGAGCUACUGUGCUCAGCUCAGCCAUGGAACAAUCUUGAUGUAUAAUUUAUCUGCAGGUAUCUCCAUCUCUAUUUGCCACUCUUAGUAAAUGUUUUAGUUUGACAGUAAACGAGUUGAGACAUUAAUGAUUGAGAGAGCACCUAAGCAGCUCGAAGUGCUGGGAGUCUCUCCUAAAGAAUUAGAUGCACACAGCAUUUUUCCCUUACAGACACUUCACUGAGCAGUCAUGUUGGACUUGGGUGGCGUCUGCUAUUAGACACACUAUUCACCAAUAAAACCCUGAAAAUUGCAUUGCACAGGACUGAUAAAAAUAAGAUGACUUAAGAAACGUAUUUAUGGUAUAUAUACACAGAAAAAGAAUGAAAGUUUGAGGGGGUAUUGCCUCUGGGAGGAAGAGUUAUGAGUAGUUUGUAUUUCCUUUUUUGUUAAUCUGUAUUUCAUUUUUUAGGCAAUGCAAAUAUAUUAUUUAGACAACAAAAUACUUAUUAGAAAGAAAAGACAUGGUGGGUUUUUUCCCCUUUAUUCUUUGCUUUUCUAAGAGGAAACUUUGACUGCAAUUGCUUGUGAGUGAUACCUGUGUUCUGGUAGCUUAGGAAGACACAAUGUGGUUAGGGAAGGAUAAGAACAGAUGGCUUUAAUAAAUGUACUCAAGGCUAAUGUACCCUUCAUAGUCUCAGGCUUCAGAUCAGAUCUCUUAUCUAUGCUGGCACCAGGAUGUGGUUUUGAGUUCUCUGCUUUUUCUACAGCUUUAGGGAAAUCUGCAUGCAGGCACAUCUAAUUGUCCAAACCAAAAAUCACAUCCAGGAUGUGAGGCAGCCUGGGAGAGGUCAUUUUGAGUUCUGUAGUCUCCGAAGUAUAAAAACACAUAAACAUGUAUACAUACACACAUUAACACCCACACACUUUUGAAGGAAGAUGGAAUGGAAGACAAGCACCACAGUGAAACUUUAGAAGAAUUUCCCUUACAUUCAGGAAAAAAAGAUAGAGGGUCCAUUUUCAUCACUCUUAUUGCCAUUGUCUAGAAGAUAAGCCGUAAUAAGAUAAAAUAAAAAGUGUAUAGAACACUUGGAAAAAAAUAUAAAAGAUUGGUCCCAUUCUCCGAUGGCAUGAUAUUCAAAUGAAGAACCAACUAUAAACAGGUUGUUAUGAGCUGAAUGUUAAUGUGACCCCAAAAUUCAUAUGCUGAAAUCUUAACCCCAAAGGUGAUAGUGUUAGAUGGUGAGGCUUUUAGGAGUUGACACAGUGUAAUGCCUCUUCUAUGAAGAAGUGGGCCUUUGUCAGUUACCAAAUCUGCAGAGGCCUUGAUCUUGAACUUCCCAGCCUCCAGAGCUUGGAGGAAUGAAUGUUUAUUGUUUGUAAACCACCCAGUUUAUGGUAUUUUAUUAGAGCUGCUCAAAGGGUCUAAGACACAAGUAUAAGUCAUAAGUAAAUGCAUCAAAUUUGCUGAAUAUAAAUCAACAUAUAAAAAAUCAACAGCAUGCUUGGAUCCCUGGUAUGAAUCACAUCUGGUCAUGGCAAAUAAUCUAAAAAAAAAUAAUAAAAUAAUCAAUUUAAAAAAUUUAAAAAGCAACAGUAUUUACUAUUCAUUGCCAAUGACCAAUUAGAAAAUGGCAUAAACAUGACAUCUGUGAUAAGACAAAUACUCUAAGGUAACUAGAACUACAAGUAAUAAAAGAUGUGUACAGUUUACAGAGACGAUUGUAGAAAGCCAAAAAAAAUUAAAAGUGAAAACCUAAAUGGGAAGAAGCAUCAUGUAUAUUGGGUCAUAGUAGAUAUCAUAAUAUAAAUUAUAAAAUACAGAACAAAAUGAUAUAAAAUACUAAAUUUCAAAAUGUGUUGGAUAUAGCUAAAGCAGCACUAAAGAGGAAUUUAUAGGUUUAAAUACACGUAUUGGGGGAGGAAAGAGAUAAAGUUUGAUAUGGCGGUAAGCAUCCACUUAGGGAAAAGUACAAAAAGAAAAUAAUAGUAGAAAGUAAUAAAAUAGAAAAUAUAAAAGAGGUUUUUUAAAAAAUACUUACAAAAUGGACAGUCUUUAUGGGGAUUGAACAAGAACAAAGAAAGAAGGCACUGAUAACCAAUGUCAAGGAUAUGGAAGUGGAUAUGUGGAUAUAACUAAAAUGCUGCAGUUAUUCGAGAUAAGAGUAUUAUAAGUAACUGUAAGAUAACACAUUUAAAAACUUGGUCGAAAUGGUCAAAUUUGUAGAAAAGUAUAUCUCAACAAAACUGAUUCAAGAAAAAUAACCCAUUAAAAAAUAAAUCAGCAGUUACCUUUUAUUUAUUUAUUUUUGACAAGAAAAUAUCAAAUGGUUUUACUGGCAAGAUCUGCCAAAUAUUCAAGAAACAAGUAAUUUCAAUUUUGGACAGAAUUUUCCAGAGAAGAGAAAAUGGGAAGAGGGUUGUUCCUCAUUUUAUGAAGCUAGUAUACACAUCAGUGCCAACAUUUGACAAGGGAAGUUUGAAAAAGGAAAAUCACCGACUAAUCUCUCCCAUGAGCAGAGACUUAAAAAAUUCUAAACAAAAUAUUUGCCAACCAAAUCCGAAUAUAGAAAGGAUUGUACACCAUGAUCAAGUUGAGCUCAUCCUAGGAAUGUUUCCUUUAUGGUAACAUUCGGGAAAGCAAAAUACAUGGGUGCACAUGCAAGAGGUAGGAGAUUGAGACUGGGAGUCUGUAGAACUUCUGAUUUCAUCCAUUUUUUGCAAGUGAAUUAGAUUUUCUUUAAAAAGGUUAUUGGGUGAAGGCGCAGAUAGAGGAGCAGGUCUUGGAGAUUUAAGGGGAAAGGAAGUAUGAUACAGUCUUCUAGAAGACUGGAAGAGUAAAUGGAAUAUAGCGUGAUUGCAUUGGGGCUCCUCUGAGCUUUAUGGGCAUGAAUUUAAAGAUUAUUUGAGGCCCUGGUUUGUGCAGUAAGAAAAAUUUUGUUUAGGGAUUAGGAAGGAAGAAAUAAAACUAAAAAUCUCCCAUUAUUCACAGAUGACAUGAUGAUUCUUAUAGAAAACCCAAAAGAUAUUACUACAUCAAUAUAGAAAACUCAAUUACAUUUCUUUAUUUUUCUUUUUCUUUUCUUUUUUUUUUUUUUUUGCUUUAAGUUCUAGGAUACAUGUGCAGAACGUGCGGGUUUGUUACAUAGGUAUACAUGUGCCACGGUGGUUUCCUGCACCUAUCAACCCGUCAUCUAGGUUUUAAGCCCAGAAUGCAUUAGGUAUUUGUCCUAAAACUCUCCCUCCCCUUCCCCUACUCCCCCCAACAGGCCCUGGUAUGUGAUGUUACCCUCCCUGUGUCCCUGUGUUCUCAAUGUUCAACUCCUACUUAUGAGUGAGAACAUGCGGUGUUUGGUUUUCUGUUUCUGUGUUAGUUUGCUGAGGAUGAUGGUUUCCAGCUUCAGCCAUGUCGCUGCAAAGGACAUUAACUCAUUCGUUUUUCUGGCUGCAUAGUAUUCCAUGGUGUGUAGGCGCCACGUUUUCUUUAUCCAGUCUGUCAUUGAUGGGCAUUUGGGUUGGUUCCAAGUCUUUGCUAUUGCAAAUAGUGCUGCAAUAAACAUAUGUGUGCAUGUGUCUUUAUAGAAUGAUUUAUAAUGCUUUGGGUAUAUACCCAGUAAUGGGAUUGCUGGGUCAAAUGGUAUUUCUGGUUCUAGAUCCUUGAGGAAUCACCACACUUUCUUCCAUAAUGGUUGAACGAAUUUACACUCCCACCAACCAUGUAAAAGCAUUCCUAUUUCUCCAUGUCCUCACCAGCAUCUGUUGUUUCCAGACUUUUAAAUGAUCAUCAUUCUUACUGGCAUGAUAUGGUAUCUCAUUGUGAUUUUGAUUUGCAUUCCUCUAAUGGCCAGUGAUGAGUUUUUCUUAUGUUUUCUGGCCGCAUAAAUGUCUUCUUUUGAGAAGUGUCUGUUCAUAUCAUUCACCCACUUUUUAAUGGUUUUUUUCUUGUAAAUUUAAGUUCCUUGUAGAUUCUGGAUAUUAGACCUUUGUCAGAUGGAUAGAUCGCAAAAAUUUUCUCCAAUUCUGUAGGUUGCGUGUUCACUCUGAUGAUAGUUUCUUUUGCUGCGCAGAAGCUCUUCAGUUUAAUUAGAUCCCAUGUGCCAAUUUUGGCAUUUUUUGAAAAUGCUUUUGGUGUUUUAGUCAUGAAGUCUUUGCCCAUGCCUAUGUCCUGAAUGGUAUUGCCUAGGUUUUCUUCUAGGGUUUUUAUGGUUUUAGGUUUUAUGUUUAAGUGUAAGGAGGGAUACAUUUAAGCCAAAAAGGACAGUCUACAUCUCUGCUUAUUGUCCCAAGGCAGCAGAAAUACAAUUCAUAGAUCCCAACACUUAGCCUUCCCCACCCUAGUCACACAGCAUCCCUCAGCCUGCCAAGGGAAUUGGUUCUGCAGACACGAGGGAUUUGCCCGGGGAUAAAGACCCCUUCUGGUUCAGACAUCAGGAGAUACAAAUGCAAUACACCACAGCUGACACAACUGGACAUCUUCAGUGUUGCAGUCUCACCCUAUCUCUCUGCUUGCCAGCUCCAGCUCAUCGGGCCAGUUAUGAGAAGGAAAACAUAUUUUCUAAAAGCUUUCUUAAGUGUUCACAUGGCCAGCUGCCCUUGUUUGUUCUCCUGAGUACUGAGGUCACUGGAAGCCACAAAACCCAGCUGGGACCACUUCAAUGAGUUAUGCUCCAGGGAAAAUUAUGGUGUGAAAAGGUAAAAGGAAAUUUUGGAAACUGGUGGAAUCUUCAUGGAAGUGUCACCCUGGGCUAAUACCAAGGAUCUGACAUAGACAAAAGUAUGAAUUACUCUGCAGGCUCAGCGCCAAGGGCAAGGUCGUAAGAGCCUGAGAUGGUCUUAACAAAUUAAGUGAGGCAGGCAAAGUUCAGUUGCUUACUGUGAGCUGGACCCUUCUACAUUAUUAUUUUUAUCAUGGAGUCCAAUGUCCCCAUGUUGAUCCUAACAAGCCAAGUCCCACAUUGCAUCAUCCCACAUGGGCCGGCCUUCUCUGGGCAAAACUUCAAGAUGUGAAACUCCUUUUUUCUCCUCUCAAAAUGUGCCAGUCCUGAGUCUCCUGUAUUGGGUUCAUUAAUGUUAACAUACUUUUUCUGGUCUGCUACAAUGAUCCAGGCACUGCACUAUAGUCCAAAGGCACAAAACAAUAAAUUAGACUUGCCCCUUGUUCUCAGGACUGAAAAUGGUUCCAUUCACCAAAAAAACAGGUGAAAGUUUACCCAGCACCUAAACCUGUACUAAUGUAUUAAUUAAUGCAUCACAGUUUAUUUAUUCUACACUUAUUUUACUUGCCCCUGUAAUAUACCACUAGAUGCUUCAGUAUGGGAGAUAUUGAACUCUAAAGUUCUAAGGGUGCUGUGGUGGAGAUAUGGACAUAUCUCAAAAUUAGCAGGAAAUUUAAAUAGCGAUUUUAAGAGAAAGUAAGAUCUGGUUAUGAGAAAGGAUGAAGCUACUCUGGGUGAGAGAAAACUGAGAACUAUGCCCUAGGAAUAUCCAACAUUUAAAGUGUAAACAAAGAAAGUAAAGACAGAGAUGACAACUGAGAAAGAGUGGUAGUCACAGGAGACUCAAGUGAGUGUAGCUGGAAGAUGUCAUCAGAACCCUAGUUAAUAACAUGUGGUCUACCAUUGCUACAAUACAAUGCCCUCCAGCCAUCUCAGGCAGGUGGGCCUUUACUUUCCUCAAAUUACAUUCACAGAUGAACAACCCAUGCUCUAUGAAGGAGUCGGGCCUGCAUACUAUCCUUCCCAAUGAGGGAGAUGUGACAGUUCAGGAUUCAGGAAAGGACCAAAUGGACUCACCAGGAAUGUGCACUUGGCUCUGGGGAUUGUAGCUGUCCAUCAGCAUCCACACUGGAUGAAACUGCUGAAGGAAGGGGCUCCGAAAACACCCACUUUCCUCAGCCUCUGCGGCCUUAACUCCAUGUGCCAGCAGGUCAGGCUAACAGGCUGUGGUGCUAAAGGCAUCAGGCAGACAUAUCUACUGGCCCAUUAAGAUUCUGUACCUAAACACUACCCACCCCGCCCACCCUGCCCCAGUGAUGGCCCUGCCUUUCCUGCCAGGCCUGCUCUCCUCCCCAAGAAAGGGAAAAUGGUUAGCAACUUUCAGAAACUAAAACAAACACAAAAGUUUGCCAACAUUAAACUCUGCUUCACAGCUAAAUGGACCAUAAACUUUCAGCACCUUGAACAAAACUUCAAUUCAAUCCCUUCUACAGGUGCUGUGGGCACAAAGACUGCACAGUGUAUUUUUGCCCUGGGAAAGAGUCUCAAAUUAUUAUUUUUGUAAAAAAAAAAAAAAAAAGAAAAGAAAAAGUUGCCUGGAAAAAAGUUUCAUUUUGUGCUUAGAAAAACAAGCCAAGAGGCAACGCACACCCCCUUUCUCUCCAUUCUCACUUCCCUGCACUCUCACGAGAAGAUUCCAGCCCACCUUGAAACCCAGCAUGGAUACUAGAGAAGACAUCUUUUUCUCCAGUUUUCAAAUAAGCCUCCAGGAUGAGGCACACGCAGACCUUUCCUGCUAGCCUGUAAUUCACCACCUUCUAAAAGGACCAGGUCAUGAUACAAAUGAAAGCAAUGAAAAGCACAGGCCUGCAUGCCCAAGGUCUGAGUCUUGCUCCCUGUCAUCUUCGGUGUGACCUUAGCGUGUCACUUGACCUCUCAGGUCUCACAUUUAGCAUCCAGACAACUCAGGACUUAAGUUCUCUUACAGCUCUAAAAUUCUGUAUGGGAAUGACAUCAAUAAAGUAAUAUAAUUUUUUGUUCAAACCAGCAAAGAUGUGCAAAUACAAGGGGUAGUGAAUAGCAAUUAUGCCUGGCAUCCAGCAGAACUGUGCUGGGAACCAAGACCUGUGGUUCUGAGGGCUGUCCAGAGAGCGCCACGGCCAUUCGCGUGCUAAACCUUUGCAACCUGAGCCCAGUAACAGGAACACAGAACAUUCUCCAGGAGUCUGGGGCCUUGCCUCCAUUCUCCAGCUGCUCCUCUCCCAUUGUUUUCCCUCUCUACACGACUGCCCUUUCUUGGGCUCCCCAUGCUCUAAGUUAAGUUGGCAGCAUGGCAGAGAUUGAGAGCACAGAUUCUGGUCUCAGACUGCAUGGGCUCAAAUUACAGCUUCAUAAUUUACCACAUGAUCUUGGGCAAGUUACUUAAACUCAAAGAUAGACUUUUCAAACAUUUUUUCACUGCAAUCCACAGUAAGAAAUAUAUUUAACAUAAAUAAUACUCUACGUGUGUGCACACACACACACAUACUCACAUAAAUUAAAAGAUUAAUAAAAAAUAAUUAUUUUUGAUAUUUUGUGAGCACCAUUUGAUUGGUCCUAUUCUAUGUAAAUUUCUAUAAAUGCUAGUCAUAAUCCAGCAAAUUGAUUUCAUGGUCUACUAAUGGUUUCAGACCCACAAUUUGAAAAACCCUGUUCUAAGCUUUAGUUUUCUCAUCUGUAAAAUGAAGAUAAUAUAAAUAAUAUCCUCUCUGUGGAGUUGUUAUGAAGAUGACUAAAAUGUUCAUAUAAAAGCGUUUGGCCACAGUGCAGGGUGGCUCACGCCUGUAAUCCCAGCACUUCGGGAAGUCAAGGCAGGCAGAUCACAUGAGGCCAGUAGCUCAAGACCAGCCUAGUCAACAUGUUGAAACCCUGUCUCUACAAAAAGUACAAAAAUUAGCCCAGCAUGGUGGUGCACACCUGUAGUCCCAGCUACUCAGGAGGCUGAGGCAGGAGAAUCACUUGAACCCGGGAGGUGGAGGUUGCAGUGAGCCAAGAUGGCACCACUGCAUUCCAUCCUGGGCAACAGAGUGAGACUCUGUGUCAAAAACAAACAAACAAACAAACAAAAGGUUUAGCUUGGAAGGUAAUAAGUGCUCAGUGAAUAUUAGUGUUAUUAUUACUCAAGGAAGGGCAUCAGUGUGAAAUAAAUCUUAUACUUCAAGUCCAAAAGGGAAGCUCCCAGUAAUCAUGCCCUUCAUGAACCUGUACAUGAAUCAAAUGGCUUUUCCCAUUGGGCAUGCAUGCCAUGCCAUCAAGCAAGUCAGAAUUUAAGCUUCUGUGCAGGUCAGUGAAGACAUGGUGCUUGCCACUGCAGCAGCAGCCAUCUUGCACACAUGAGGUGCCACACCUGAGGAAGGAAGAACAAAGCAAUGGAAAGACCAGUGUUUUGGUAUUACUGAGUUGCUGAACCAAUCCUGGAACUGGAUCUCAGGCUUUUUAUUUAAAUCAAUAAAAUCUCCUGAUGUUUAAAAGGCAAUUUUAUGCAAACCAGCUCAUUACCUCCUACAGUGUCCCUUCCCUCACCAACAGGAAGUGGCUCCACAUUUCAAUUGCCUUUUUGCCCUUGAGAAUCAGCAUUCCCUAAACCACCACUAUUAAAUUUGGGACUCUGAAACCACAGAAAUACCCUACAGUAGGAAAUCCCCCUUGGGUGCCUAGACUCUCUAUCACCUUUGCAAAGCUUUUAAGUAAAAAAGGAAAACCUCAGGCUUCCCACUUAGCCAUGGAAAGUGGUACCACCUUCAGAGGAAAGAUGGGGGAUUCAGGAGCACCACCUCCAAUUUUAGGAGGUGCCCCUGAUUUCCUCAAAUACUGACAGGUAAUUUAACCUAAACAAUGGAGAGGAGCCCUGCUUCAAGAUGCAGUGCUAGGCUCACCCUGACCAGCACUUGGUAGAUAAGAAAGAGAAAACAACUUACAAAUUCUUCAGUGAUGCUUGGCUCAGUACUUAGCUCGCUGGCUGGCUGACUUUGCAACUACUUCUAGUUAAGGGUUCCAAAGGACUGGAAGGUAAAUAACCAGCAAGGUGUCGUAACACUGAGACAGAGUGAAAUAUUAUUUCCACCCUCUCGUGACCUCGGUGGCCAUUUUCCAGCUCUAGGGCCAGUCUGCACAUGACGAUGAGUGGUAUCUGAUGGCUGGUCCUGGCAUGAAGUGUGAGGGAAUGCCAGUUUAGGACUUGAACCUUCCAUCUCCCACUGAUUCCAGUCAGAGUAAUCCAAACCUAGUCUGUCUUUUCUUUCCCUUAUGCUGCAAACUUUCCCCUGUUUUAGUCAAAAUACACCAGCUUAGUAAUUCUGGCUGCCACAGACUGAAUUUUGAGCCUCACCAGUUUCCAAAUAAUUAAGACAGAGAAAGUGAGUUAAAUAAAAUAUGGCCAGAUUAAAUAAACAAUUCGGUACUUUAGGAGAAGAAUUCAGGCUGGGUCUAAGAUAGGCGCCUAGCGCAGGGCUCUGCAGCAGACAUAAGGAAGUCUUAAGUUGGUUUUCAAUAGGUGUACCUAAGGGUGCAUUUGAUAACAACAACAAAAAGAGAGAUGGAAGCAAAUAUUUAACAAGCACCUAUUAUCUAUCAGGCACUACAUAUACAUUCUCUCAUUUUCUUCUUACAAAGUACACGUAUCCUAGCAAUUAUUUCCAUUUUAAAAAACUGAAAAUGAAAAAUUACUUGCUCAAGAUCAUAAAGCAAGUAAACAUUAGAAUUAGGAUUUAACCCUAGGCCCUUCUUGUGCAGGAGUCAUGCUCUUUCAAGCACACUGUGCUGUCCCCCGGGAAGAGUGAGGGUUAUCAGGAAAAGCAGUGGAAUGGCAGAAAAGAAGAAGGGGAAGGAUUUUAAAACAGGGAAAAGAAAGGACAGAAAUACAUAAAAAUAAGAAAUGGGAACAGGAAGGACUGCAAAGAUUAAGGAAGAACGGUUGGUGAGUACCUUGGCUAUUUAGUGGAAUUUGGUGAUUCAGAACUGGGAAUGGACAGUAAGCCCCUUCAAAUACCCUGGGGAAGCCAAGAUUGUCAUGGAGCUGUUCUUUUCUCUAUCUCAAGUACAAAUGUCUCAAAGAACUCUAAAAGCUACUUAAAGCAAGAGCAAGGAACUCAAACUAAGUUCUUAUUGAGUGGUGGCCAAAAAACAAGCUGGACGAGUUUCCAGAUGAUACUGCCGGGAUGAUUCUUUUAGCUGACAGUUACCAAAAAGGAAGGCUUUCAGGACAUGUCAAUAGCAGAUCUUACGCCUUCUCUGACCUCGGCCUUCCUCAGAGUCUUUUAGCUGUAAUGAGCAAAUAUUAGCAUAAGAGACAGGGACCAAAUAUUUGUUUAGUGUCUGUGUUGAUUAUUAAGCUGUUGCCUGUAAACUCCACACUCACCCUUCAUUCUCAGCUUUGUGUUGCUGGGGCUGGGCCUCUGUAAUCACAUUUCAGCUUUGCCAGAGGGAUUUCUCUUAGGCUGCCAGUAGUGGGGCACUAGAGGGAGUCUGGAGGCAGUGGGGAAGAAGGGAUUUGUUCCUUCUGUUUUUUUGCUGGUCCUGUCAGUAUCAUCCCAGCAGCCCUUAGCUCCAGUUUGCAGUUAUUUUCCUCACUACAAGAACACACUCCCUCAGUGAUAGCGUCUGUCAACCAGAACCUCCUCCCCAGAUAUUGAGUCCCUGUUUUGAGGGUCCCUGCUCUGAGUCUCCAACGCACCUGCCUCCACCAGGCAGCACCCCUCCCUCCUGGUCCAGUUUCCAGCUCUGCAGGGCCCUCCUCCAAGCUUCCAGAUCCCAGGCACCUGACGCAUCCCUUUUGUUCUCUCAGCCCUAGGGGUAGCGAUUGCUUCCUGCAGUUGCUAGCUCCGUGACCCUCCAGUGGUCCUCCUCCUCACUUUCAGUGCUUCAAUUCCUUAUAUUAAGUAUUCUUUAUUAGGAAAACUGAUGGGUGUCUGUUUUCUGGACUGGCCUUUACCUGAUUUGUUAUCACUUCUGUCUACGUCCAGGACAAUAUUGAGCAAUAUUCUGAGGCUAUACUGUGUUAAAAGGAAACUUCAGACAAAUUAAAUUUAACAGAGUUUAACUGAGCAAGAAAAAAAAAUUCAUAAAUUGGGCAGCCUCCAGAAUCACAACAGAUUCAGAGAGAGUCCAGGGAUGCCUUAUGGUCAGAACAAAUUUAUAGACAACAAAAGGGAAGUGACGUGCAGAAAUCAGAAGUGAGGUACAGAAACAGCUGGACUGAUUACAGCUCAACAUUUGCCUUUUUUGAACAAAUCUGAACACUCAGCAGUGUAUGAGUGGUUGACGUAUGGCUGCUGUGAUUGGCCAGACCUCAGCUAUUGUUACAGGCACAUACUCUUAAGUCAGGUUUUCAAUCCUAUCUGACUAUAAAGUUAGGUUACAGUUUGUCCUCAUGGACUCAAAUUUAGAAGUAUGGCGUCCUUCUCAGGCCAUAUUUAGUUCAGUUUAACAAGUGCAUAUGGCUUCUGACAAAGGUGUGGCCCCUUUAGGACUCCAAAGACGCUGUCACUUACAUGGUAUUCAGGGAGGACACAGAGGAUCUGUGAGCAGCCUGCAGCCAAGCUUUGAGAUCAUAUUGAGAUUUUUUUGUAAUAUAUGAGGAGUGUUCUGGCUCCUUUUAUUACUUUCUUCAUAGCAAAAAUUGGGGGUCCAAGUUGUCGUUAAAUUGAAACUCUCUCACUUACCCUGAAAAAGAUUUGACUGUGAGCAUAACAUUGUUACUUCAUUCAAGACAUGGAAGCAAAAGGGUUAAUUAGUGCUGCUCACAAAAUAGUUCUACUUUUUCUUCUUCCAAUUAUAUGAUUGGAUAACCCUUCCCUCCCUUGAAGUCAGGGUUGCCAUGUGGCUUACUUUGGUCAAUAGAAUAUGAUUGAGAGCAAUACUGUGGUACAUCCAUACAGUGGAAUAUUAUCCAGUGAUAAAAAAAAAAAAAAAAAGGAAAGAAAGAAAGCCACAAAAAGACAUGGAAGAGAGCCAAGCGCAGCGGCUCAUGCAUGUAAUCCCAGCACUUUGCGAGGCUGAAGUGAGUGGAUCACUUGAGCUCAGGAGUUCAAGACCAGCCUGAGCAACAUGGCAAAACCCCAUCUCUAAAAAAAAAUACAAAAAAAUUUUAGCUCAGUGUGACUCUGUGUGCCUGUAGUCCCAGCUACUGGGGAGGCUAAGGUGGAAGGAUCACUUGAGCUCAGGAGGUCAAGGCUGCACAAAGCUGCAAUGAGCAGAAAUCAUGCUUGGGCAACAGAGAGAGACCCUGUCUCAAAAUAUGUUAAUGAGAGAGAACUCUGGGCAAGGGGGUGGAGGGGCAGAGGAGGAGUGUGGGGAAGGGGAAGGAGUGCAUACCUGGAAACUCUACUUUCUGCAUAAUUUUUCUAUAAACCUGAAAUUGCUCUAAAAAGUAAAGUCUAUUUAAAAAUAAUAAAUAAGAAAGAAAUAUGAAUAUCACUUGUGUCACUUUUGUGUCAAAGCAUUAACGGCCAGCACAUGAUUUGCCUUGCCACUCCCUUCCUCUUGGUCUGUAGUCCAAUGCUCUACCUCUGAGCUAUACCCCUUCCUUGCCACUCCCUUCCUAAAGAUAAGCCUCCCUCAUUGGAUUAGAAUUCUCCGGAGAGACAGAGACAAUAAGAUAUAUAUAGAGAGAGAUGGAGAGAUAGAGAUAGGAAUUAUCACAGGAUUAUGGAGGCUGAGAAGUCCCGCAAUAAGCCAUCUAUAAGCUAGAGAACCAGGGAAGCCAGUAAUAUGAGUCAGUCUAAGCCUUAAGGCUUCAAAACCAGAGAUGUCAAUAGCAUAACUUUCACCACAAGACUGAAGGUCACAAGGCUGAAUGCCUGAGAAACUGGGGGGUCACUAAUCCAAGCCCCAGAUUCGAAAGGCUGGAUAGAGAACCUGGGGUUCUGAUGUCCAAGGGCAGGAGAAUAAGGGUGUCCCAGCUCCAGAAGGGAGUGAGCAAAUUCACCUUUCCUCUGGCUUUUUGUUCUAGUAGGACCUGAGCCAUAUGGACGAUGCCUGUCCACAUUGGGUGAGGCCACAUCUUCCUCACUCAGUCCACUGAUUCAAAUGCCAAUCUCUUUUGGAAACACCCUUAUAGACAUGCCCAGAAGUAAUGCUUUAUCAGCUAUCUGGGUACCACUUAAUCUGGUCAAGUUGACACCUAAAAUUAAUUAUCAUCACAACUCAUUCUGGUUCUGUUAGUGAGAAUAAUCAAGAAUGCAUCCCUAGCUCGUCACUUCCAAUGAGCCAGUCUUCAGUGGACAUGCACCCUGAGUGGAAAAAAAGUAAAAACUGUUUCUAUUGUUGUUUUAAACAACUUAGAUUCAGAGAUUAUUUGUUAUUGCAGGAUAACCUAGCUUAUCCUGACUAAUACAGAGAGAGGAAGUCCUCCUUUAAUCUCCAACAGAAAUAUUAAACAGCAAUCAAUCACACAAUAUUGGUUAAAAAAACAAAGAUAAUAAUCAUUGUUAUUAUUUUCAUUAUUUCUGGAAAUAAAUUUAAAACUAUUGAAAAAACUUACUUUUAAAAUUCUCAACAUCACUAAUCAUCCAGGAAAUGCAAAUCAAAACCACAAUGAGAUGUCAUCUCACCUCAGUUAAAGUGGCUAUUAUCAAAAAGACAGAACAUAGCAGUUGCUGAUGAGGAUACAGAGAAGGGGAAGUUCUCCUACACUGUUCAUGGGAAUGUAGAUUAGUAUGGAAGUCCAUCAGAAAACUAAAAAUAGAACUACCAUAUGAUCCAGCAAUCCUACUGCUAGGGAUGUAACCAAAAGAAAGGCAAUCAGCAUAUAAAAGAGAUAUCUGCACCUCUUUGUUUAUUGCAGCACUAUUCACAAUAGCCAGAUUAUAGAAUCAACAUAUGUGCCCAUCAACAGAUGAAUGGACAAAGAAAAUGUGGUAUAUAUUCACAAUGGAAUAUUCAUUCAUAAAAAAAUUAAAAUCCCAUCAUUUGAAGCAACAUGGAUGUAACUGGAGGAUAUGAUGUUAAAUGAAAUAAGCCAUGCACAGAAAGACAAAUAUCACAUGUUCUCACUCAUAUGUGGGAGCUAAAAAGGCUAAACUUAUGGAGGUGGGGAGUAGAAUGGUGAUUACCAGAGGUUGGGAAGUGUUGAAGUCAGAGAGGAAGAGAACUUGGUUAAUGGGUACAAAAAUACAGUUAGAAAGAAGGAAUAAGUUCUAGUGUUCACAGUAGAACAAACAUAAUUAAUAAGAAUUUAUAGUAUAUUUCAAAAUAGCUGCAAGAAAAGCAUUAUAAUGUUCCCAACACGAAGAAAUGGUAACCGUUUCAGGUGAUGGCUAUCCCAACUACCCUAAUUUUAUAAUUAUACAUUAUAGGUAUGUAUCAAAAGAUCCCAUGUACUCCACAAAUAUGUACAACUAUUAUGUAUCAAUAAAGACAGAAAAAACAUUAUAUAUAAUUACAUAAUACAGACAUAAUGAAUAUGAAUCAACUCUUAGUAUAUAUGAGGAAGAAGUGCUUGAAAAAUUUCUGUAAUUUUAAUCAUUAAAAACCUAGUCUCCAGAAUUAAAUUUUAUUCACUUAAUCAAGUCUUGUUUCAGGAGAGAGAGACAGAUAUAAAGAAAGGGUAUAGCUACUUGAACAAGGGAGGCAGCAUCCAAAUGACAGCCUGCAUGUUGUUUAUUCACACAGAGUAACUGCUGGCCAAAAUAAUAUCUCCCGAUGUUCAUUUAGUGUUGACAGAAAUGGUGAGAAUAUUCAAUACUAUCAACUUUCAGCCACUGAAUGUGCUUAUUUUGAGAGCACUGUUCAAAGAAGUGGAUUCUAGCUAUAAACACUGCUUUUCCCCCCACUUAAAUAGUCUAUUGAAGAGGAAAAUACCCAUACACAUUAGUAAAAUGAGAAAUGAGAUAAAAAUAUUGUUUCCUUACUCUAAUGCCGACGAAGAAUAAUGGUAUGAUUUAAGGGACCUAAGUAAAUAGCAUAUCCCAGUAAUAUAAUCAGUAUUGUGAGCCACCUAACUCUCUCAUUCAAAGCCAAGGUGUGGAGAUUCUUAAGAUCAAAGAUAAGUGGUCGGAAUUUCUUAAGAGGGCCGACCAUGUGGGCAAGGGCUUUGUUGUUCAGACUUCGACCCUUCCCCAGAGCCUGAAGAUUUUCUUUAGAAAACAAAGUCAAUGCCACGACUGGACCUUUCAACACCACACCCAAAUGCUGCAACAGAUGAUAUCACUUUCCAGGGUAAACACAAGCAGUGUAUUCUGAGGCCACUGGCCCGACUUCCCAGGUUGACUCAUCCUGCCUUCCAGCCUUGAAGGGCAAUAUCCUUACCAACAUGUGAUCUGAAGGAGCUCUGAACCCUCCAGUGAGACAUCAGCCCAUCAGACUCACAGAGAACAGCAGGAAGGCCAAAGACUCAAGAUUUAUCUAUCCUUGAAUUAUUCAGUGAUGCUGAUUACAACAGGCCUCCGUUAUACGAAGGGAAAACAUCCCAGACCCCCCAGUGAAUGCCUGAAACUGGAUUCUACUGAACCCUGAGAUGGUACUAAGUGACUAACGGGUGAAUAGCGUGUACAGCAUGGAUACACUAGACAAAGGGAGGAUUCGCAUCCCGGGCUGGUCAGCAAGAGGUUUCAUCACCCCACUCAAAAUGGCAGGACCGUAUGAACCUGAAUCCAGAGAAACGGCUCAUCAGUCUCCAAUCCUCUGAUUUUCUAAACCAGGACUACAUUAUAUUAAAACCAGAAAAAGCAAUACCUCUUUUCACAGAAUGGACUUUCUGGUGGAAAUGGGAGGAACCAAAAGAAGGCUGACUUCUUCAUUUUGACACCCUGCCCUGACUGCAGAACGUGAUUUCCCUAAAAGACUGAAUGUUAACCUCAAAGCCUGGUCAACCAACAUGCAGGAGAAAUCUUGACCAAGGCUCUGAGCAUGCUGUGGUCCCAGUGGUGAGGGUGUGAUAUGCACUGUCUGUUCCUGGAGUCACAGUGCUCAUCUUGUGGUAAAGACCUCUUGGAAGAAUGUCUUCAAAGGCACAUCUCCAGCUGGGAGUCCUUGUUUCCUGAUUUUUUUUUUUAAGUUUAUGUUAUAUGAACAAAUGAGACUGCUUUCCCGGCAGGAGUAGCCCUCAGACGCCCACUGUGAGCCUACUUUCUGGAAGAAGCCAACUCAGACAGACCACAGUGUGUGCACAGCAUACGUGGCUGCUGGCUGUGGAUGAGAAAGUAUUCCUGAUCUGUCAGAAUAAUGAUUUCAGCGUGUUCUCAGCAGGUCCUCAGUGUGAUCCCAUGAGGAUACCCUCAACCCCUUGCAUGACAUGUUGUACUUGGAGUCCUUCCCCAUUUCAAUUUCAGCAUCAGUGGGAGGGAAAUAGCAAAACAGCAUUCCUUCAUGUAGAUAACCAGUAGGCAGCAGGCUACUCCUGGUUCGUAACAUAACUCCACCAGUGUAUUCUGGCAGCCGGGCUUACUUAAGGGAGAGCACAGACAUUCCCUGCUCAAAAACAAAACUGCUAAACGUGACUCCGGUAGCCUCCAUGCUCUCUGCAAGAAUAAAAUCCUUGAAGAAAAAUUGUGAUAAGAAGUCUGUCUUUGGAGUCAGCCUGAGCACAAUCUUGCAUCUCCAGUUACCACCUGGGUGGCUUUAUUCACUUAAGAAAUACCUGUAGGAUACAUACUACAUGGCAGGCAUGCUUCUCAGAUGUUAGCUCAUCUUGCUAAGCCUCCAGUAUCUUCAUCUAAACAGUGAGGAUAACAGUAUGUACCUCCUAGGGCCAUCUGAGGAAAAAGUGAGAUAGUGUGUAUAAAGCUCAUAGCACAGGGCUCAUAGAGAGGAUUUGCAGUUAGUGUUGGCUGUGGCAGGUAUUAUUCCCUUUACCCCAGCCUAUGCCAUCCUUGCCACCCCAUCAGGAGCUCCUGAUGAUGCCAGCACCUCUUGCCGAGCCCUCAUCUGGGGCAGCGUACACCUUUAACUUUUUAUUCCUCUUGGCUUUGAUAUUCAUUGACCUGGAGCUACCCACACCAGGGGGCAGCAUAAAUAAUGGCAGAAGUCACAGUCUCUGCCCUGGCUUCACACCUCCUCUUGGUAUCAGCUGUUCACCAUGCUCUUCCUACUGACUCUCUGUAGGACCAGCACCAACACCAUGUCUUAAUCUGAUAUACAUACACACACACACACACACACACACACACACGAGACACUAUAAACAGUAUAUAUGCAAAACUAUAUAUAUUACUAUGUAUCUAAUAAAUGAAACUAAAAUAUAU
rnacentral:lncRNA from 1 species